rnacentral:rRNA from 1 species
CCUACGGGAGGCAGCAGUGAGGAAUCAUUGUCAAUGGGCGCGAGCCUGAACCAGCCAAGCAGCGUGAAGGAUGACUGCCCUACGGGUUGUAAACCUCUUUUAUAAAGGAAUAAAUUGAGGCUCGUGUGCCUUUCUGUAUGUACUUUAUGAAUUAGGAUCGGCUAACUCCGUGCAAGCAGCCGCGGUAAUACGGAGGCUCCGAGCGUUAUCCGGAUUUAUUGGGUUUAAGGGGAGCGUAGAUGGGUUGUUAAGUCAGUUGUGAAAGUUUGCGGCUCAACCGGAGAAUUGCAAAUGAUACUGGGAGACUAGAGUACAGUUGGGGUAGGCGGAAUUCGUGGUGUAGCGGUGAAAUGCUUAGAUAUCACGAAGAACUCCGAUUGCGAAGGCAGCUUACUAAACUGCAACUGACGUUGAUGCACGAAGGUGUGGGUAUCAAACGGGAUUAGAUACCCGAGUAGUC